AAGCACCUGUCCUGCGAGCUUAGGGGUGCUACAAGUUGACCACUGCAGCAGUAAAGAUGACUCUGAAGAAUGGCAUGGGAUGGAUCCUUUCGAAUGCACUUGAGCAGCGGUCUCCAACCACAGGGCCACAGAGCUGGAGCUGGAUCUACCAUGAAAGACCUCUGAAUCCAGGAAGAGAGACUGACUGAGCAACAUGUUAUUCAGGGUCUCCAUCUGUUGUCCAAGGCUGGAGUGUAGUAGUGCUAUCACAGCUGACUGCAGCCUCAACCUUCCAGGCUGAAGCGAUCCUCCCAUCUCAACCUCCCACGUGGCUGAGACUACAGGUGCUUGCCACUAUGCCCAACUAAUAUUUGGAAUUUUCGUAUACGUGGAUUCCAGAGGGGUGACAGUGAAACGUGGGACCAUCCAGUUGCAGGAAAACAAGCUUAAGACGCCCACUGAUUCUACAUUAUGCUCCUACCUCCCGGCAGCCUCUCCAGGCCCAGAACUUUCUCCAAUCAGCCUCUACAGACCAAGCUCAUGACUCACAAUGGCCUAUUUAGGCCCAUACCCUACGUCACGGCAGUCUCCGCAGAUGAGCCUACUGCCCCACAACAGCCUCCACAGGCACAGCUCCAUCGUUACAAUGGCCUCUUUAGACCCAGCUCCUGCCUCCCAGCCUUCUCUCCAGGCCCUGAACUUUCUCAAGUCGACCUCACCAGGCCCAGCUCAUGCUUCUUUGCAGCCUCUCCAGGCCCAGCUCCUGCAUCUUGGUGGCCCCUCCAGGCCCAGCCUCUGCCUCCCGUCGGCCUCUACAGUCCCAACAUCUGCCUCACAGCAGAUUCUUCACGCCCAGCAUCUGCCUCACUGUGGACCCCCCAAGCCAAGCUCCCAACCUUUCAGCAGCUUCUACACACCCAGCUCCUGCCACCCAGUGGCCUCUUUAGGCCAAGCUCAUGCUUCACAAGGGCCUUUCCAGGCCCAACUUUUGUCUCAUGGCAACCUUCCCUGGCCAGAUUCCUGCCUGUCUCCCAGCAGCCUAGACAGGCCCAGGGCCUCUCUACAUGCAGCUUAUGCCUCACGGUGGCCUCUCCAGGCCCAACUCCUGUCCCAGGACGUCAUCUCCGGGCCCAAAACUUACUCAAGUCAGACUCUGUAGUCCCAACUGCUGCCUCCUGGUGGCCUAUGAAGGCCCAAAAUCUCCUCAAGUUGACCUUUCCAGGCCCAGCUCCUGCCUCCUGUCAGCGUCUACAGGCCCAACCUCUACGUCAUGGGGGCUUCUCCAGGCCCACCUCUUCCUCUUGGCUGGGUCUACAGGCACAACUGCUGCCUCACAACAGCCUUUUUUGGCCCAGUUCCUGUCCAGCUCAUGGCGGCCAAUGUAGGCCCAAAACUUCCUCAAGUCAAACUCUCCAGGCCCACCUUCUGCUUCCCAGUGGCAUGAACAGGCCCAGCUUUGACUUGAGAACAGCCUCUGCAGGCCCUGCUCUUGCCUCCCAGGGGCUUUUUCCAGGCCCAGCUCUUGCCUCAUGGCAGCUGCCCCAGGCCAAAUUUCUGCCUGCCUGCCAGCAGCCUCAACAGGCAUAGCUCCUCCCUCACAGUGGCCCAUUUAGGCCCAACUCAUGACUGUCGGGCCAUUUCCAGGCCUAGUGCCUGCCUCGUGGCUGACUCUUGAAGCCCAAAACUUCCUCAAAUCAGCCUUUUGCCCAACUUCUGUCUACUGUCGGACUCUACAGGCCAGCCUCUGCCUCACAGUGGACCCUCCAGACCCAGAUGGUGUCUCACUGUGGCAUCCUCAGUCGAAGCUCCUGCCUUUCGGCAGCCUCUCCAGGCCCAGCUCCUCCUGCCUCCCAGUGGCCUCUUUCGGCCCAGCCCAGCUCAUGCCUCCCGGCGGCCUUCCCAAGCCCCGCUUUUGACUUUCGGUGGCCUCUGCAGGCCUCGACAAGGCCCAGCCUCCUGCCUCCCGAAGGCCUGCACAGGCCCAGCCUCUGCCUCACAGCGGACUCUCCACGCCCAGCUAGCUGUCGCCUCAUUGCGGCCUCCCGAGUCCAAAGCUCCUGCCUCUCGGCCGCUUCGGCAGGCCCAGCUCCCACCUGCCAGUGGCCUCUUCAGGCCCAUGGGGCUCGUUCCUCACAACGGCCUUUCCAGGCCCAGUUUUUCCCUUCCGGCGGCCUCUCCGGGCCCAGAACCUCCUCAAGUCGGCCUCUCCAGAGCCACUUGCACCCUCCGGGCGUCCUCUCCGGGCCCAGCUCUUCUUCCUGGUUGCGUCUCCAGGCCCGACUCCUGCCUCUCAACAACCUCUUUGGACUCAGUGCCUACCCAUCUCCUGGCGGCAUUGGUCGGCCCACAGCUUCCUCAAGCCAAGCUCCCCAGGCCCAGGUCAGGCCUCACGGUGGCCUCUCCAGGAUGAGCUCCUGCCCUCCGAUGGCAUCUCCAGGCCCCAAAUGGUCUCCGGUCGGUGGGCUCCUCCACGCCAAGCUUGGGCCUCCCGGCGACCGCUGCAGGCCCAAGUUGUCCUGAAGUCGGCCUCUCCUGGCCCUGCCUCCCAGCAAGUAAGCAAGCUCUUUUGGCUCAACUCCUGCCCAGCUCCCAACCGCCUUUCUAGGCCCCGAACUUUCUCCAGCCAAGCUCUGAGGGCCCACCUCCUGCCUCCUGGUGGCCUGUACAGGCCCAGCACUGGUUGGAGAACAGCCUCUGCAGGCCCCGCCCUUGCCUACCAGGGGCCUCUCCAGGCGCAGCUCUUGCCCCCACGGCGGCCUCCCGGGGCCAAGUCCCUGCCUGCCUCCCAGCAGCCCACGUGCGGCCCAGCUCCUCUCUCACGGUGGCCUGUUGAUGCCCACCCUCCCACGCGGACAGAGGUCAGCCUGAGCCCCUUGCCUCACACCGGCCCCUCCCACGCGGACAGAGGUCAGCCUGAGCCCCUUGCCUCACACCGGCCCCUCCCACGCUGAGAGAGGUCAGUGUGAGCCCCUGCCUCAACAGGCCACCGUGAGGGAGGAGCAGGGUCGCACGCGGGCUGCUGGGAGGUAGGCAGGGACUUGGGCCUGGGAGGUCGCGGUGGGGCGAGAGCUGGGCCUGGAGACUCCCCUGGGAGGCAACAGCGGGGUCUGCAGACACCCUUCUCCAGCUGGAGCUGGGACUGUUCAGUCACUGGGAGAAGGGAUGUGGGUCUGAAGAGCUUGGUUGCAGAAACUUCGGGGUCUACAAAGGCCGGCGGGAGCUGAGCCAAAAGAGCUUGUUUGCUGGGAGGCGGGAGAUGCAGCCAGGAGGAACAGCUGGGCCAUGCGGGAGGCAGAGGCCGGGCCUCCUCAAGUCGGCCUCUCAGACCCACUUGCAGCCUCCCAGCGUCCUCUCCGGGCCCAGCUCUUCCUCCCGGCUGCGUCUCCAGGCCGGACUCUGGCCCGACUCCAGGUCCCAACAACGUCUUUGGACUCAGCUCCUGCCCAGCUCCCAGAGGCCCUGGUAGGCCCACAACUUCCCUAAGCCAAGCUCCCCAGGCCCAGCUCAGGCCUCACGGUGGCCUCUCCAGGCUCAGCUCCUGCCCUCCGAUGGCAUCUGCAGGCCCCAAACGGCCUCCGGUUGGUGGGCUUCUCUAGGCCCAGCUUGGGCCUCCCGGUGGCCUCUGCAGGCCCAAAUCGUCCCGAAGUCGGCCUCUCCAGGCCCAGCUCCGGCCUCCCAGCGGCCUCUGCAGGCCCAAGUCGUCCUCAAGUCGGCCUGGAAGUGGGCCUGGAAGAGCAGCAAGUCGGCCUCCCCGGGCCCAGCUCCGUCCUCUCGGCGGCCUCUCCAGGUGCAAAACUUCCUCGAGUCAGCCUCUCCAGGCCCAGCUCUUCCUGCCUCCCAGUGGCCUCUUUCGGCCCAGCCCAGUUCAUGGCUCUCGGCGGCCUUCCCAGGCCCCGCUUUUGACUUUUGGCAGCCUCUUCAGGCGCAGAACUUGAUCUCCAGUCGGCCUUUGCAGGCCCGGCCUCCUGCCUCUCAAAGGCCUGCACGGGCCUGGCCUUGGCCUUGGCCUCACAGUGGACUCUCCACGCCCAGCUAGCUCUCGCCUCACUGCGGCCUCCCCCGUCCAAAGCUCCUGCCUUUCGGCCACUUCGGCAGGUCCAGCUACUGCCUGCCAGUGGCCUCUUUAGGCCAAGCUCAUUCCUCACAACGGCCUUUCCAGGCCCCGUUUUUCCCUUCCGGCAGCCUCUUGGCCUCUAAUUUGUUUAUCUUUUGUGUAUAAAUCCCAAAAUAUGGAAUUUUGGAAUAUUUCCACCAUUAUAUAUUUUGGUAGGUAAUUUAUUUGGAGUGAGUUUCUGCACCAUGCCCGAACUUUUUGUUUUAUUUUCCUUAUUAUUUGGUGUUAAACAGGUUUAAUGACGGUCAUGGCAACUUUUUGGCACAAUGAAAAAUAUCGCCCAUGAUCAACGUGUUCUGUUCUGGGGAAGGGGGCAAAGGCAGGGUGAAUCACUUUCUUAAAAAGUAUAGCUCAAGUUGGGAGUGCAGAGGGAAUGGGGAGAAAACCCUUCCGCUGCCUGUGUCGAAGUGCAGGAGCCCCCACCCCCAUACUCACCUGAGUCCAGCCCCUCUGGGGAAAGAAGGGGUGCAUGAACUCCCCUUAGUCCACAGGCGCCUCCCUGUGGCCCAAGGCCCUCUUCACACUCCAUCUUGUAGCCCCAGCAGGAGCUAUUUUCCGAAAAGUGAAAAGCUCUGAAGGUCCCACAAUUCAUGGUAUGUACAGGGGCUCGGAGGAGGGAAACUGCCCAGCUUUCCCCCGGCACAGCUGCAGGGGUAGGGGGUAUAGAUAAGAGGAGCAGGCCUUGGCCAGGCGUGGUGGCUCACGCCUGUAAUCCCAGCACUUUGGGAGGGGGAGGCAGGCAGAUCACGAUGUCAGGAGAUCGAAAUCAGCCUGGCCAAGAUGAUGAAGCCCCGUCUGUACUAAAAAUACAAAAAUUAGCCGGACGUGGUAGCGUGCACCUGUAAUCCUAGCUACCCGGAAGGCUGAGGCAGGAGAAUGGCGUGAACCCGGUGGGAAGAGUUUGCAGUGAGCCAAGAUCGCACCACUGCACUCCAGCCUGGGCGACAGAGCAAGACUCGGUCUCAAAAAAAAAAAAAAAAAAAAAAAAAGGCAGGCCUUACUCCGUCCCAAACUGAAAGGAUUAAAUGGCUUUACCUGGGAGAAGAUAACCAUCCUGCCCUCCAUUGCUACCCCCACAUACUGUCCAUGUUCUCAGGGGGUACUGUGAGUCCUGGGAUCUUUGGGGUUGCCCACCUGCCUGUGGUAGUUAUGGAGACCCCCCAGGUGUUUAGGCAGGGCUGGGGUGUCCCCUUCCAACCAGGCUGUCAAGGCCCCAACUCUGGGGCAGAGGCAGUGGCAGGGCAGCCAGGGUUGCGCCAGAGCCUGAGCAGGUUGAGGUGGGGUCAGGCAGGGCUGGGAGUCAGGGCAGGGGCAGCAGCAGUGGACCCGCUAUGCACACAUCGUCUUCUCCAAGGUUUGUGUGCAGAACAUCCUGCCCAUGCUGCCCCAGCAGCUUCAGUUGGCACCUGCCCCAGUCCAGCCUCUGGGAACCAUGCAGCAGCUCCCAGCGGCCCUGCACCCACCACCAGCAUCCGUUUCACCUGCAGUUGAAGAUCCGUGAGGUGCCCAGAAGAUCAUGCAGUCAUCAGUCCCACGGAGCAGCCCGUGAGGCUGAGGCUCCUCCCACUGGACCGCCCCCCAACUGGCACCACUGCUGCCCCUGCCCCUACUCUCAGCCUCACGUGACUCUCGGGCAGAGGCAGUGGUGGGGCAGCCAGGGCAGCGUCAAGAGUCUGAGCCAGGUGAGGUGCGGUCAGGACCCCCACAGGGCUGGGAGUCAGGGCAGGGGCAGAACAAACCUUGGAGGGGAAGAUGUGUGCAUAGUGGGCCUGGAGGGCGGCUGUGGCCUAGUGGACAGGAAGAAGCAGUGGGCCUGGAAGAGCUGCAUGAUCAGGGCCGGCACUGGUCCAGGGCACGUGCAGUGAAGAGGACAGCGCCUUCUCGGUCUCCGGUUCCCUGAGCCUGUCCUUGGCUUCUCCACCUGUACAGGCAAAGGGGAAGCUGUCCCCAUCACACAUGGCACACUUGGGGGUGUUGGGCUUUGGACUGCAGCUGGAGCAUCUUCUCAUCUUGCAUUUGGGCGUGGUGGGGUCCUCCAGUGUGGGAUCCAUGUCCGUGGGGUUCCCUCUGCCCCGACCCCGAAAGCCCAGUCAGUUUCUCUUCAGGCUCUGCCCCCCGGGUGGCUCAGCCCAGCUCCUGCCUAGGAAAGCCUUAGUGUUGGGAGGGACCCUGAUGACUGAGGAGCCUGGUAGCUCCAGGUCGCCCACACUUUCAGGUCUCUUGCACCAGAAGGUGGCAGGAUCCAUUGGGAGGAAACAGGUCACCUUGGAAGGCGUCCCUGGGCCCCCAUCCCCAGGGGUAGGGGCCGUAGGGGGCCCGCUCUGCUGCCUUGACCAGACUCCUGGGCAUUGAAGGCUCCUGGGCCCAGUAAGAAGGAGGUGGGUGCCAAGGUUGAGGAGGAAGCAUCCGAGUAUGUGUAGGAGGAGGACAAGGUGGGACCAUAGACUUUGCCAAAAGCUGCAGGUGGAUCGGGGGACCCUGGGGGCUCAGGAUCCAGCAAGGGGCGGCAGGAGUAAAGGAGGAAGGAAUGACAGGUGCAAAUACCUUCCCACCAAAGCCCUUGUUGCCCUCUGGCUCCUCCCCAGAGUUGUCCCCACUCUCAGUCGGUCACCCACUCCUUGAACUUGAGAUCGGUGUCAGUGGUGCUAAAGCCAUCAUCAGCAAUGACAUCAUCACCCCCUCCUCCUCAUGGAUGACCGUGUGCUCCUCGUCACUUGCUAUGUCCUCACUGGCCAUGUGCUGGGAAUGAGCAGCUCAGGUGGGCAGCAGCAGGGCUGCCCACUGGUCACCUCCCUCACCAGGGGCUGCAAAGUGGCCUGGAGCUCCAUACUGAGUAGAAGGCUUUGGGCCAGAGUAUGAUGCAGUGCCAGACACCACCUGUGUCAGUUCCCGUAGUGCCUGACGGUCUAUUUCCCUGCCGUCCAGGCUGUGUACCCCACUGUGGGAGAAGGCUUGGGCCAGGCUAAGCCAGGUUCCCUGACUGUGUGCAGCCAUUCUGCCCCACAGAAGCUGCUCCUUGGUAUCCGAGCUCUGGAGUGUUUGGGCUGCAACUGACAGGAGUUCAGAGGACACCCCAGGGGCAGUGGCAGUGCCCGUCUCUGAUAUUCUCCGCUCCCACGAGCCCUUGUUACACUCCUGCUAGCCCCUGGCUUGUGGGCUUGGCCUCUGAGCUGGACUUCUUUCGGUCCUUGUUGCAAGUGGGCCACCUUCACCUGGAAGGCCAGGUCGUGGUAUUUCUGCGUCUCAUUGGGCCCCAGGGUGUACCACCGCUUGCUCAGCAUCUGGCUGACGGUCCGGUUGUCCUGGUUGGGGUGACCCUGGUGCGCCCUGCCAGGGCCUGGUGCCGCUUGCUGAAGAUCAUGACCGCCACUCAUGGGCCACCGGAUGUGGUCCUUGUCCCAUUUGUUGGGGCUGCAUCCAUCCUUCUCAGAAGAUGAGUCCUGUUCCUUGCGCAGGGCACUGAGGGACUGGGCCUGACAUCAUCUGGCUGGUAGAGGCAACUGGGUGUCAGGAGACAUGAUGGAGAGGAAAGCAUCAUCAUGGUCAUUCUCUGUCUCACUGUCCAGCAGGGACUCCCCUGAGGGGCCCAGGGCUCCUCCUCCAUGGUGGGAGGUGAGCUUUUACCAGGUUCCACCACCCCCAAAGUGUGUGGGGUUGCGGGCCCUGGGCUUUCAGGGCAGGUGGCUCCAGGGGGCCACCCAGGGUCAGCACUCCCUGUCCCACCUGGUGGACACUCAUGAGCAACAGCUGCUGACUUGGCAGGUUCUUUGCUCUGGUUGGAGGCCACUGAGUGACUGGCAGGUUGCUGGACCUCACAUAGCUGCAGGGAGGGGUCAGGAAGGGGACAGAGUACCAGGAGAACACAGCCACAGAGCAAGGUUCCACGUUCCUCCACACAAACAUGCUGACGCCACUGGAGGCCUCGCUGGACGCAGACAUCAGGGGCCUGUGGGCCAAGUACAUGGUCUGGGCAGGGGGUUCCUGGCAGGGGCUCACACCUCCUCAGCCCCCUCCUCAGCCAAGGCAGCUUGGACCCACGGAAGUGGGGAUGGAAGGGGAGCAUGAGGCCAGGCCUCAAGUUUUUGUUUUUGUUUUUUUUUUUUUUGAGAUGCAGUUUGGCAGGCUGGAGUGCAGUGGUGCGAUCUCAGCUCACUGAAACCUCCACUUCCUGGGUUCAAGCAAUUCUCCGGCCUCAGCCUCCCAUGUAUAUGCACCUUUACUGCUGAAUAUUAUAUAUUUUCUUAUGCUUUCAUGUGAUUGAUUAGCAUUCUUUUUUUUUUUCUUUUUGAGACAGAGUGUUGCUGUCGCCCAGGCUGGAGGGCAGUGGUGUGAUCUCGGCUCACUGCAACCUCUGCUUCAUGGUUUAAUUGAUUCUCCUGCCUCAGCCCCCUGAGUAGUUGGGAUUACAGGCACCCGCCACCACACCUGGUUAAUUUUUUGCAUUUUUAGAAGGCGUGGGUUUUUGCCAUGUUGGCCUGGCUGGACUUGACCUCCUGACCUCAAGUGAUCCACCCUCCUUGGCCUCCCAAAAUGCUGGGAUUACAGGCAUGAGCCACCACACCCAGCUGCUUUCUUUCAUUUUUACUUGAAAAACUCCAUUAAGCAUUUCUUUUAAAGUAGACCUAGUGGUGGCUCAUACCUAUAAUCCCAGCACUCUGGGAGGCCAAGGUUUCAGGAUCGCUUGAGCCCAGGAGUUCAAGACCAGCCUGGGUAACAUAAUGAGACACCAUCUCUACAAAAAAUGCAAAAAUUAGCUGAGCAUGGUGGCACGCACCUGUAGUCCCAGCUACCUGGGAUGCUGAGGUGGGAGGAUCACUUGAGCCCGGGAAGUCACAGCUGCAGUGAGCCAUGAUCGCACCACUGCACUCCAGCCUGAACAACAGUGUGAGACCCUGUUUUUUAUUUUUUAUUUUUAUUUAUUUAUUUUUUAAAGACAUAGGUAGCUAGAGUAAUACAGAGAUGAAAGGGAGAGUAUUCACACACGCUUCUUAAAAUAGAAAUUACUAAAUUUUAUUUUACUUAAAAUAAAAUUUAGCUGUGAGGAUUCUCCACAAGGCUGCUCAUGACAUGGCAGAUGGCUUCCCCUUGGGUGGAAUGACAGGAGGGCGAGGGCCAAGGUGAGGGUGGUACGGAGAGAGAAAAAACUACCAAGAUGAAAGCUGCAGUGCCUUUUAUAACCUAAUCUUGGAAGGGACAUAUCACUACUUGUGCCUUAUCCUUUCAGUCACACAGACCAACCCUGAUAUGUUAUGGAUAGGGACUUGGAGACUGCUCCAAAGACCAGGAGGUGACGAUCACUGGGGUCCUCUGGGAGACUGGCCACCACAGUUGCCUUUUCCUUUUCAGGUCACUUACAAGGGUCUUUGUUGCUAUGGAGGUGGAUGUGGGCAUAAUCAAAGGGUACAUGUUGUACAGGCCUUUAUUAUACAAACCUCUACAAUAAAACAAUAACACAUCACUGCCAAGACAGUUAUACAGUGUUAAAUUGGAAUGGAAAGGAAGGAAUCAGAAUUUCAUGUGAUAGAACACUUAAAAGUCUGCCUGUGCACAUGUAUGAAUAUGCAUUAGGGAGAAGUAAAAGAGUGACCUGAAAAUCUUCCUAAAGUAAUAUUAUCUAGAAAGUUUGAGAGGUUUAACUGUGGCUAACAAGAUUUCCUGAAGAUAAAAUGUUCCUGGGGCCUUAAUAGUUACAAGAACUUUACCAAAUCAAGAAAGCAAAUAUAUAGGAGUCUAAAAAUUAUUUAGUUUUGCAUAUUCAUUUCAGAGUACCAAUUAUGAUUUUAUUUCUUUUUAAUUUUUAAAAGUUUAGAAAAAAAACGAGAACCAAUUACAAUGUUAAAAGGAAACAGGAAGGAUAGAUUUGGGGCCAAUUAUAUUACUGUUUGGGUUUUUGUUACUAUAAAAAUGGAAAUAUUAAAGAUUUUAAAAAAUGAGUGGUAAUAGAGUACAAAUCUGCAAAUGAUGAAUCAGCAAUUAUAUUUUUAUACCAAAUGGUAUGUUUGUGAUAUUGAUAUAGUAUUAAUGCACUGUGAAUUUAUUUAUUUAUUUUGAGAUGGAAUCUUGCUCUGUCGUGCAGACUGGUGUGCAGUGGUGCGAUCUCAGCUCACUGCAACCUCUGAUAUGGUUUAGCUGUGUCCCCACCCAAAUCUCAUCUUGAAUUCCUAUGUGUU